rnacentral:lncRNA from 1 species
AAGUGCUCUAUACUAAAACUUUCUCCUCCUUGUCAGUUGUGGAAAUGGGAACUUCUUAGACAGGUAGCUGAGGAGACAGACCCACGUGGGAUUUGACCAAGUACAAUUCCCACCACGAAGGAGAUGGAUUGAUGCCAAAUCGUGCCUGUCGCCUACCACAUCAGACCCUACCCAGAGAAAAAAAAUAAACAAAUAGAACUAUCGCCAAGGAGCUAAAACCAGCAAUGGAAACUGAGUCACGCCAAAGGAAAGCCUCAAACUCCCCAAC